CUGUUGUCUGCAGGCAGCAAGAAGAUUUCAUCGGAGGAAGAGACCUACUCGGACCUUUCGGUGCUCAUCUUCUACCACAACUUCAAGGGCAUUGAAUCCCAGUACCAGCCCUUUGCAGCGCUUGUGCAGGCUGCAAACGCCUCCGUGGCACAGGUACAUACUUGUCAAAAUUAAAAUCAAAGUCACAUCCAGAUUAGGAAUAGACGCAGGCAUCCCGUGAACCAUAACACUCCAUAUUCAAACAGGAAGGGUGUCAUAUAGCAAUAGCCAUUUUCAACCAUGUCUCACGCUAAGCGGAGGUUGGAGUCUGCAGGUCCUAUUUCGUGAAUAGAGUUCACUUGCACGCCUGGCUGUGCUGAGGAGCUGUGCUUCACAAACAUGCACCAGGUUCAAUUCAAAUUAGCAUCAGUUGUCUCAGACCAGGCUAUAGCACUUUCAGUGGAAGCUACCAGCAGGCCUCAUUGAAGCCUGUGUGAAACCUGCCCCUAAGCCUUUGAAAGUCAGGGGGCAAAAAUCUUCAUCCCCCUCUGUACAUGCCUGGUUGCAGGCUGUCACAGACGCAUUCUCAGCCUUCAACGCCUCGAUCACCCCUUACGUGACCACGACUAACGGAGCUGAGUCAUACGCCUCGUACGCUAACUUCACCAACGAGCAGCGCAACGCCAUCUCCAAGGCCUCCUACCAGGUAUACAUUCCAGAGCUGCAGAUUACCAUCUACUGAAGGAUACAAACAUGAAGUGGGCUCUGGGUAUCGCAGGCUAGUCUGUGCUGUGACAUUCUUUGACAGAUGCAUGUUAGUUAGGACGUCAGUGUGGUUGCCAUGCACCAGGGUAACCCUGAGUUAAAUCCAUACCUUUUCUUGUCAGCGCACAGAUCUGCAAAAAUUCCAAUGCUGCAUUGCGUAGUGAUGCCAGCUUGUAUGGCUGCCUGUACCCUAAGUAGCACAAUUGUCCUCGACCUGACAUCAUCCUGGGCACAGCCAAAAGCUCUGGUGAAUGUUUCGCACCUCCUGUGUUGCCUUCAGAAACUUUUGUCAGGUCUCAAGUAUCUGAUCUGCUUCUUUCCUGCUAGACAGAAGGCUGAAAGGCCUGUCAGCUGCAAGUUUUGAUUCAUGUUCCUGUGGCCUGAUAAAGCCCAGCAAAAAAGGACACACUCUCCUGCAUCUAGCCUUUCUCCCGUUUAUGCAGCAUUCCAAAAAUCCUGUGUUCCGCUGCGCAGACGGCUGAGGCGCUCACAGAGGCAGCGGCAGCGCUGGGGAUAGAGAAGAAGCCGGACGCAGAGGAGCGCGUGGGCGAGUGCCAGCCGCCCAUCAAGUUCAAUGGCACUGACCCUGUCAUCCUGCAGGGGGUGUCCUACUUCCAGUCACUCAUGCGCUACCAGGCAAGUGCCUCUUUCUUGUAUGUCAAAGGAUGUACGACAUGUACAUUUGAGAAG
rnacentral:lncRNA from 1 species